AAUAAGAAAUGAACAAAGAUUGG
rnacentral:piRNA from 1 species